AGGGCUUAUUCAUAUUUCUCUUUCACUGCCUGGAUAACAACGAGGUCAAAAAAAUGUUGAAACUAAUCCGUAAUAAGCAACUAGUGAAAGUGGACAUUAAAAUGUCGAAACGCUCAUCACAAGCUACAGAGACGUCUACUAUCAAUACGGCAUCAGAUCAAACUCGAUAAUUAGAUGAAGUUCUUUUUGUGGACGUACCCGGUUUGAUAAAAUGGGAUCGUAUGGGAGGUGUAUGACAAAUUUUUAACGUCUUAAAGACCCGACAGUCUUAGAAAAACUUGAAAUACAUCUUUAUCCAACGAAACGCGUUACUGACGUGAAACAGGCAGCAGCGUGGAAUUGGUUAAGAGUAAUCACAUUCAUAUUUUCAGUUCUGCUAUUACUGCUUAAACUACUUUGCAAAAAAGUGAAUGUUCUCGUCAAAAGAUUAACUUAUAAAAUCCAGUAAAGCCGAGAGACGACACCAACGCCAUAUUUUAAAUAAUAAACUGGCCAAAUUUAAGUGGGAACUGCAUAUUUAAAACGUUAUCAAUUUCAACCGAUUAUCUGUUAAAUCUUGAUGGUCAAUCUUUUGGCAUCAUCUCAUGCCGUGCUUUGUCGUUUGAAGUUGAUGUGUUUUGGUAACUAGGUAGCCACAAAACUAAUCUUUGUGCGCAGUACUUCGCAAAGAGGACUGUUCAAAAGCGUAGCCUACACUUAAGUAACUUUUGUGACUUCAAGAUGCUAAAUUUAAUGAGACUGAUAAGAAACAUAUAAUUCUUAAAGUUAUUGUAAAAAAAGUAGGCGUUUUCUGAUUAUUCGGAUGAUUGUAUUAAUUAUGUUUCAAUGCAAGAUUAUAGCAAUAUGAAAAAGGA